rnacentral:rRNA from 1 species
CGCGGCCUAUCAGCUUGUUGGUGAGGUAAUGGCUCACCAAGGCGACGACGGGUAGCCGGCCUGAGAGGGCGACCGGCCACACUGGGACUGAGACACGGCCCAGACUCCUACGGGAGGCAGCAGUGGGGAAUAUUGCACAAUGGGCGAAAGCCUGAUGCAGCGACGCCGCGUGAGGGAUGACGGCCUUCGGGUUGUAAACCUCUUUCAGCAGGGAAGAAGCGAAAGUGACGGUACCUGCAGAAGAAGCGCCGGCUAACUACGUGCCAGCAGCCGCGGUAAUACGUAGGGCGCAAGCGUUGUCCGGAAUUAUUGGGCGUAAAGAGCUCGUAGGCGGCUUGUCACGUCGGGUGUGAAAGCCCGGGGCUUAACCCCGGGUCUGCAUUCGAUACGGGCUAGCUAGAGUGUGGUAGGGGAGAUCGGAAUUCCUGGUGUAGCGGUGAAAUGCGCAGAUAUCAGGAGGAACACCGGUGGCGAAGGCGGAUCUCUGGGCCAUUACUGACGCUGAGGAGCGAAAGCGUGGGGAGCGAACAGGAUUAGAUACCCUGGUAGUCCACGCCGUAAACGGUGGGAACUAGGUGUUGGCGACAUUCCACGUCGUCGGUGCCGCAGCUAACGCAUUAAGUUCCCCGCC